rnacentral:rRNA from 1 species
GACGAACGCUGGCGGCGUGCUUAACACAUGCAAGUCGAAACGGUGAAGCCUUCGGGUGGAUCAGUGGCGAACGGGUGAGUAACACGUGAGCAAUCUGCCCUUGACUCUGGGAUAACUUCGGGAAACCGGAGCUAAUACCGGAUAUGACAUCUGGCCGCAUGGUCUGGGUGUGGAAAGAUUUAUCGGUCAAGGAUGAGCUCGCGGCCUAUCAGCUUGU